rnacentral:lncRNA from 1 species
GGUACCACCGCCUGUGUCAGUCUGACACUGACACUACAUUGGGUGGUACCACCGCCUGGCUCCUUACCAUUGGGCGGUACCUCCGUCUGACAUAGUCUCGAAGACUAUGCCACGACGGUGCCACUUCUUGGGUCAUUGUUUGGGCCUUUCAUUAGGCCCAACAUAGUCCUUACAUGGGCCCAAGUAGCCUAUAAUUGGGUUGGCCCAAUUUCAAUCCCAAUUAUGUGCUAACUACGAAAUCUAAGACAUUUACUAAGCUAAACAAGUCCGUAAGUCUAGUUUCUUCCAACGAUCUUCCGGCGAACUUCCGACGAUCUCUCGACAAUGUUCCAGCGGACUCCUGGCAAGCUCCUAGACUUCACGACGAUCUUCUUGGCGAGUUUCGAUGAGCUUCUUUGGCAAGCUCCUGGACUUGAUUUGGUUAAUUCAUAUAUGUAUAGUGAGUUAGUGGCAUUACAAACACUGAGCAACGUAGUCAUCGGUUAUUAAAAGGCUAACAUUAGUCAUUAGUUUAAUCUUGAUUAAUGAUUAGUCUAACAAAAGGUAUAAAUUAGUUGGGUUUUGCAUAUCAUGCUCUUUGAAAUUAGAAAAAGUUCUGUGCUUAAAAUACAUGACAAUUUCAAUUUUCCAUUUUUAGAUUUUCUUCUGUAUAUCAAUUGUUGAUAUUUAUUGUUUCACUAUUAAUGUUAGAUUCAAAAUAUUCUAGUAAAUAGGACCAAUAAAACUGAGCCAUGAAAUGUAUACUUGUUUUUUAGAUUUAAGACCUUGUAUCCAUUCUUAUCUGUGUCAUUUACUUGUAUAUCAGGAAUAUGUCCUAGGCACCAUGUUGUUGUAAUCUUCCACUUGUUACUUAAAUGCCUAUCAUUGUAGUUCAGGCUGCUCAACUUUUACCACCAACAAGCAUAUUAUUAUUAGUUAAAAAUAUGUUGCAGUGUUUUAAUUUAAUGCUGAUAGAAUUCUACAUCCUCUCUAAAUUUUGUAUGGCUGGUUCCCAUUCAGGAUUAUGUACGAAAAUACAUUCUUUAGAGUUGGAUUUUACUUAAUAGAUCGAGUGAUUGAUAAUGCUGUCACUUCUAUCACCUUAAACAUGCUUUUUCUUUGAGAUUUUCAGGCUAAGAUUUAAAGUUGGCUUGACAUGGCGUGGGAAAAUAAAAAAUUUCCAUAAUGUUGUCCCAAGAGCUCAGUUUUUUUAAUGCCCUCAAGUCGUGUGGGUAUCACAACGAUAAUUAUUUGUGAAAUAUAACACAUUUCUUAGAUAUCGUGAGUUUUUGUGCUUCAGGCUUGUAGCAUAAGUGCUCUUUCUCGCCCUAAAUCUAUUUUUUUUUUUUUUGUGCAUAAGGUUUUUUUUUGUGCUAACAAUCCUAGUGUGAUCGGAUUUAAUAGUACAUUGUUGCGUGGCAAAACAUCUAUACCCAUAGAGGCUUCUAACAAUAAUAAUUAUUUUUAAAAUAUAACGUAUAGCCUAUACUAUAAGGAUUUUUGGUUUUUUCAUAUUUAUAGAGGUUUCCUAUCGAACCCUAAUGGGUCUUAUCAUAUUGGGUAUUGGAUCUUUAUCCAACUAUUCAAACCACUUAGAUUAGUGGAUCUUUAUCCAAUAAUCUUUCAUUGGCUCUUAUUGAAUCUCAUCCACAAGAUCCAAUAAUUCAAGAGCUUAUUGGAUUUUCAAUAAGAUAGGGAUUCCGAUAUAUAUCUUAUAUCCAAACUUUUAUUCGUCGCAAUGUGUACCAUAUGCGUGUGACCCUCUAGGCUCAAUAUCGAGCUAGUUAUGAGUUCUUCCAUCUAUCCUCACUUAUCAUAUACCUUAAUCCCUCAUCCAUCUAAUAUCCCAGAUAUCAUAUAUCGGGCAUGGUACUAUUAGACCUAUACGGUUUCUACUCGAGUCUCGCUCUGAUCGGAUUCUCUCGGAGAAUUAUUUUUUAUCUCAAUCCGAAUGACCUAGGUUAGAGAUUUGUUUGAGGAAGAACACAUGAGAGGUUAGAGAUUUGUCUGAGUAAGAACACGAGAUAUUUCUCUCAUGAUACCAAGAGCAUAUGAUCCUCUAUAGACACUCAAUAGCCUUCAUAAGUUUGAUUGUCACACU